rnacentral:misc_RNA from 1 species
GAAAUGCGAUAAUUAAUGUGAAUUGCAGAAUUCAGUGAGUCAUCGAGUCUUUGAACGCACAUUGCGCCCCCUGGUAUUCCGGGGGCAUGCCUGUCCGAGCGUCAUUGCUGCCCUCAAGCACGGCUUGUGUGUUGGGCUUCCGUCCCUGGCAACGGGGACGGGCCCAAAAGGCAGUGGCGGCACCAUGUCUGGUCCUCGAGCGUAUGGGGCUUUGUCACCCGCUCCCGUAGGUCCAGCUGGCAGCUAGCCUCGCAACCAAUCUUUUUAACCAGGUUGACCUCGGAUCAGGUAGGGAUACCCGCUGAACUUAAGC